GAGACACCCUUAUGGGGCAGGACUUGCUUCAUGGGGCUUUGGUGCUCACUGAGUCUGCCCCUUGAAUGUGUCGCU
rfam:Myotis lucifugus cont2.41417, whole genome shotgun sequence.